GGAAGCAGCUUCUGUGAGGGAGGGAGGCCAGGGCUGCCGCGAGCCGUGUGCCUGCUGAGAGCCGCGGGCCUUGAGGCCAAGCAGGGUGCUCCUUGGAGGUCGCGGCCUGAGCCCGCACCUCCUCUCACAGGCUGCACCAGGGGCCCCCUUUCGCUCUCAAAGACACGAAAACCAUUUGCGUUUCUCAGAGAAAACAUAAUCCCCGAUGAGGCCGCAGCCCGUGUCAAUCUGCUGUUACCGGGUCUCCGUGGGGAACCAGCCUCACUCCGGUCCCUGUAUCCCGGGGCUGGAGGCCAGAGUCACUUGGGUCCGUGGGUCCUGGAGGGCCUGAGAGAGCGACCUCCCGUCACACCCAGACCGGGGAGCUCAGAGCCACGCCAGCGCGUGGCCCUGUGGUUCCCGCCCGUGGGGAGCCCCGGCGGCUCCAUCCCGUCAGUGGGCUUUGAGGCCCGCGCAGCUCGCCCUCGGCCUCCUCCGGCCUGGCCCUCUUCGGGCCUCCUCCUGUUCCGCACGGACCUCGUACCUCACGGUCACAGACAGACCAGGGUGUCACCAGCUGCCGCCUGGUUGAGCCCAGGGCGCGAGGCAGGUGGAGGUGGAGGCCUCCGCCCUCGCGGUCUGCGCGAGAGGCAUUUUAGGCAGCAGCUGUUUUGUUUUCCGCACGUGGGGAAAUAAGAGCUUGAAUCCGUUUCCGAAGCAUCUUGAUUCGCUCCCUCUAAACCACGACACAGUUUUCAAAGGGUCGCGCGCAGCAGCGGAACCUCUGUUGGGACGGGAUGCGCCCUGGAGGUGGAGCGCUGGGCGGCGCCGCGGGAUAGUCACCAGCCUGCAGGACCGGUCCCCGAGGAUCAGGCCGGCAGCCGAGGAGCCCCAUUCUGCGGCGGGCUCCCCGCACCCCCUACUAAUUAACCAUCCCGAAGUGCCCGCGGCCUGAAAGCUCCGCCAGGCCACAGCCUCCAGGCAGCACGUGGGCGCGCUCCCAGACACCCCCGCCCCGUCCCCCGCCGCCUCAGCGCCAGACACCCACCGGCUGCCUCUUCCUGGUUUUUGUGGAAGCCUUACUACCGACGACAAAUUUAACCCAUAACCUUGAAUCACGUCUGCAUUAAUUUCCUUAGAAAUGUGUUUCCCACAAAGUAAAAAUGUGUAGAAUAAGGCGGUUCGGGACCGUCUUGUGUCUGGACGAGGUUAACAGCUGACCUCGCCCAAGAUCGGAACUGCCGGUGCCCGCGGCACCCACAGGUGACCGUGUCACACUUGCUUGGAAAGCACGGGCCCCGCUACGCAUCGCUUUUCCUGCCACGAGUUCAAGACUGCGCAACAGCUUCACGGCAGCCUGGGCGACGGCCUCCCGGUGUCACUCCGGGGCCAUGGCUCGGCCGUGCAGGCAGCAGCAGGGCUGUGGGCUCAAGGACAAAGACCGAGGAAGGAAAGACAGGAGGUCCCUGAAGUGAAGCACAGAAGCCAUAACAGAGAACCCACGGGAGCCGGAAACGUGGAAGCUGGAGCAGGGAGGACGCGGGACCAGCACCAAUCAGAACCACUUCCUCAAGCUUGCCAAGGUCAUACGGGGCAACCACUACUCUCCUGACUUUACAAGGCUACUGGAAGCGCCAGCUGCUCAGACAACAGCCUCUGGAAUUACCAAAGACCCCCAGAACAAAAACCGAUCUACGACUAACCAGGUAACUACUUCAACAUCCUGUUGGCUCUAGCAUGGCUUCAAGCAGAAUUUUAAAAUAUUUUGACCAGAUUUCUGAGUUCUUUGCUAGAGGGUUUGUUUAGAUUACCUAGUCCUCCAUUCUGAUCAGUAGACUAAUCCUUCAUGGAUGGUGUGGCCCAGCUUCUAAAUCACCUCAUUCCC
rnacentral:lncRNA from 1 species